rnacentral:rRNA from 1 species
AUGGCGACCGGCGCACGGGUGAGUAACACGUAUCCAACCUGCCGAUGACUCGGGGAUAGCCUUUCGAAAGAAAGAUUAAUACCCGAUGGCAUAGUUCUUCCGCAUGGUAGAACUAUUAAAGAAUUUCGGUCAUCGAUGGGGAUGCGUUCCAUUAGGUUGUUGGCGGGGUAACGGCCCACCAAGCCUUCGAUGGAUAGGGGUUCUGAGAGGAGGGUCCCCCACAUUGGAACUGAGACACGGUCCAA